GCAGCUCAUUCGGGUCUACGAGUUUGUUCAUGUAUUGACUUUUAUUGCUUCCUUUUUUCUUAUUACAAGCUCUUCGCCAUUCCUAGCGAACCAUGGCUAUUGCACUGGCGGAAGUUGACAAGUAUGAUGUGUUGGAACGGAUAGGAUGCGGAUCAUUUGGGGUCAUUCGCAAAGUUAGACGCAAGUCUGAUGGCUAUAUCCUUUGUCGCAAAGAAAUCAACUAUGUCAAAAUGUCGCAAAAGGAGCGCGAACAACUCACGACGGAGUUCAAUAUCCUCAGUUCUCUGCGACACCCCAACAUCGUCGCAUACUACCAC
rnacentral:sRNA from 2 species